UGGGGAAUUUUGGACAAUGGGCGCAAGCCUGAUCCAGCCAUGCCGCGUGCAGGAUGAAGGCCUUCGGGUUGUAAACUGCUUUUGUACGGAACGAAAAGACUCUGGUUAAUACCUGGGGUCCAUGACGGUACCGUAAGAAUAAGCACCGGCUAACUACGUGCCAGCAGCCGCGGUAAUACGUAGGGUGCAAGCGUUAAUCGGAAUUACUGGGCGUAAAGCGUGCGCAGGCGGUGAUGUAAGACAGGUGUGAAAUCCCCGGGCUUAACCUGGGACCUGCAUUUGUGACUGUAUAGCUAGAGUACGGUAGAGGGGGAUGGAAUUCCGCGUGUAGCAGUGAAAUGCGUAGAUAUGCGGAGGAACACCGAUGGCGAAGGCAAUCCCCUGGACCUGUACUGACGCUCAUGCACGAAAGCGUGGGGAGCAAACA
rnacentral:rRNA from 1 species